ACAGCCACCCAACGAUUUUGUGAUGGUGUGGUUUUGAAAACUUCAGAGAAGACUACCACUAUAAAGGAGAACUCUUCGAUAAGAGAAGAAGAUACAAAAGUCAUUUUUUCAUUCAUUCAAUAUUUACAAAAAUAAUACCAGAGAGGCACUGUACAAAAGAAAAAAGAGAGAAAAAUAAAAAGAAAAGAUAGAAAUGAAGAAAAUGAGGAGGAGGGC
rnacentral:lncRNA from 1 species